CUGUGCGUACACCUUGGUUAAUACUGCAAUAAAUAAUUUAAGUGAACAAAGUAGUUUUUAAGAGGUUAUGAAUAGACGUCUACUCACGUCUUUUACACGUCUAGACUAGACUCGUAGGAAAAAAACGGAAUAAUCUUUAUGAAAUACACGAUUUGUAUACAAAGUAAAUAUAUUAACUUUAUCUUGUUUAAAUAAAUUAUAAUCACAAAGUGCCCCGUGUGAUUGCAAAGCCACACUGCAUUUUAGUCAUUAUUUCAACCUGUUUUAUUAUUGAAUGUAUGCAUAUAAAUGUAAAACAGAUACAUAUCCGGUCACAAUUUAGGUCUGAGUUGGAUGUAUUUUCAAAAACUGUGUUUGUAAGAUUAUUUUAAGAAAUAUAGUGAUACAUCUCGGGAUAUUACAAAAUCCCGCGAUAGGACAGAUUAUCUCGCGAGAUAGUGGUCACGUCACGCGUUCUUCCGGAAGUUCACAUUCAAACACGAGGAGCGGUUACGAGGGAGUUUUGUCUAUAUAUUAUGCAAAAUCUACUGUUGGGAAAAGCAGAACCUCAUCCAAAUAAAAAUAAACAAGCUGUUAAAGGCACUGUGUCCUACACAGACCCUCCAAAAUAUAACCACCCAAAACCCAAGUCAGUUGAAGAUCAACACAAACCAAAUAAAGAUGCGCAUUCUACAAACGAUAAAAAAAGAUCAAGUUUUGUGUCCAACACACUUGGAUUAGACGUGCCCGACCCCUGACUUUGUCUACCCUAUAUUAAGUUGUAAGUUUUUGACUUCUUUGCUUAAUACUACGAAAAAGCAUGAUUUUUUUCAUAAAGGACUUUUAUAUAUUUUGAUAUGAAACUCAAAAAUGUAUAUAAAUUGUUUUGGUGUAUUUUGUUUACACAGGCACACUUCAUGACAGUAAACAUCGGUAUCAAGAUGGUGUGAUUGAUCUAUACCCUAGAAUAACUGUGACACUAUGAGACGGUCACAUAAUGAACAGCCAUCUUACAGACAACCGAAAGAGUAUUCUCUACAAUCCCAAAUUCUGGAUUGACGCCCCAGUACCAGAGGGCACCCCAAUCCCAGAGAGCAUCCAUCUGAAAGCAGGUGAGGUAACACAAGAAAAACUAACAGGAUGGAGACUACCUGAUUCUUCACCUAUGGCCUUAGCUUCAAAUGCAAGAAGUCCAGCAACUGUCUGAGCUGGUGGAUAUUCUGUCAGAGACUGCGUGAACAAUGUUAUGAACAGGUAUGUAUUUCUCUUGAAUUGUGUAAUCUUGCACCAUAAUAUUUCAGGAAUAUAUGUUGAUUACCACCAUUAACCCAGCUAUUUAUAUUACUUCAUUUCAGGAUUUAAUCUGUCACACAUUACUUGUCAGAAGUUUUAAUGUUCGGAGUGGCUCAAACAGUCAGCCAUACUGAAAACAAGAAAUCAAAACAUAAUUUCAGUAAUGAUGUCUAAUUGUCUUAUGGCAAAGUUCAAUAUGAGGGGUGGUGGACAUCUGGAAAAGAAGUCUUUUAAAGGCACACCUUUGUAUUAUGUUAUUCAAGAUGCUGUGAAGAGGUGGAGCCCAAAUGCCACAGACUCGGAAAUAGAUGCAGCUAUGGCAGACGACCUCAAGCUAAAUAAGCCAAAGAGCUGUAAUGUGUUAAAGAGAGAGUUCACCCAAAAAUGAAAAUUGUUAUAAUUUUUUUACCCACAUGUUUCAAACCUGUAUACAUUUCUAUUUUCUGCUGAACACAAAGAUUGAAAAAUGUUUGUAACCAAGCUAACUGUCAAUAAUUUUUUUUUAAAAUUGUAGUACUGGGUUGUGAGAUCUGCUUUCUAUUCUUUCAAAUAUCUUUGUGUUCAGCAGAACAUAGAAAAGUAUACAGGUUUGAAACAUAAGAGAGAGUAAAUUACUAAAUAAUCAUUUUGGGUGAACUAUCCUUUUAUAGAGUAAAGUAUUUUGAAAUUGUUAUUAUAGUUAAACGGUUUAAAAAAAUAAAAAGUGCUAAAUCAGAACAUGCUUCUUUUUUUGCUUGUAUCCAUAAAUAAUGUGUUCUUUAAUGUGUUUGUGAAAUACACGUGAUUACAACGUUAUAAAGACGUUCAGGUUUGACUGGACUGAAUUUGUGUAUUUUAAGAACCUUAAUAAUUGCCUAUUACAAUUGUACAAA